AUUGAACGCUGGCGGCAGGCCUAACACAUGCAAGUCGAGCGGAGCGGCGGACGGGUGAGUAAUGCCUAUGUAUCUGCCUGGCUGUGGGGGAUGACGACCGGCAAUGGGCGCUAACUCCGCACACUAUCCGUUAAGCCUAGGGCGGAUUAGCGAGUUUGUGGGGUAAAGGCCUACCAAGGCGACGAUCCGUAGCUAGUCUGAGUGGAUGAUCAGUCACACUGGAACUGAGACACGGUCCAGACGCCUACGGGAGGCAGCAGUGGGGAAUAUUGGACAAUGGGCGCAAGCCUGAUGCAGCCAUGCCGCGUGUAUGAAGAAGGUCUUCGGGUUGUAAAGCACUUUCAGUGGGGAGGCGUUACCAACAGAAUAAGCACCGGCUAACUCCGUGCCAGCAGCCGCGGUAAUUC
rnacentral:rRNA from 1 species